rnacentral:rRNA from 1 species
AUUGAACGCUGGCGGCAGGCCUAACACAUGCAAGUCGAGCGAUCGGCGGACGGGUGAGUAAUGUAUGGUGAUCUGCCCGAUAGCGAGGGAUAACUACUGGAAACGGUAUCUAAUACCGCAUACUAUCUGAUUAACCCAUAUGGGAUUAGCUAGUAGGUGAGGUAAUUGCUCACCUAGGCGACGAUCCCUAGCUGGUCUGAGAGUAUGACCAGCCACACGGGAACUGAGACACGGUCCAGACUCCUACGGGAGGCAGCAGUGUGGAAUAUUGCACAAUGGGCGCAAGCCUGAGGCAGCAAUGCCGCGUGUAUGAAGAAGGCCUUCGGGUUGGAAAGGACUUUCAGCGGGGAGGCGUUACCCGCAGAAGAAGCACCGGCUAACUCCGUGCCAGCAGCCGCGGUAAUAC